CAAGAUGUUCUCCCUCAAGAAGUGGAACGCGGUGGCCAUGUGGAGCUGGGACGUGGAGUGCGAUACGUGCGCCAUCUGCAGGGUCCAGGUGAUGGAUGCCUGUCUUAGAUGUCAAGCUGAAAACAAACAAGAGGACUGUUGGUCUGGGGAGAAUGUAAUCAUUCCUUCCACAACUGCUGCAUGUCCCUGUGGGUGAAACAGAACAAUCGCUGCCCUCUCUGCCAGCAGGACUGGGUGGUCCAAAGAAUCGGCAAAUGAGAGUGCAAAACCACAGUCCCGCCACCUAACAAAGCCCUGUUUAUGCCACACACCAGCAUCUGAGGGAAGAGGAGGCACUGUGACAAAGCAGCGCUGAUGCUGCUCAGCCUGCGAUGAUUACAGCUCAUCUGCACAGCCAUCUGAAAGUUUAAUACAUACUCAUCAGAGGGAACAUGCCGGGACAAUUUUGGGUUCCAAUACAAAAGUUAAGCAUCAAACAGGUUUUUCUUUCCAUUUGAUUAAAUGUGCUGAUUUUAUUUUACUGUUGCAUUAGAAACAAACAAGUUAUCUUUCGCUAUUUAAUUUUCCCUCUAUGCAAAUUGUGUUAUUACAGCUGACCGCUAUCAGUAAAUCUUAAUUCUGUCAGUCCCAUUGCUUCCUUUUUUAUAAAAAUACUGUGUCCCCCUUUACUGUCAUGAAGUGAAAUUCAUAAAUAUAUUUCCUACACAUAUAAUUUAAAUGUAUGUAAUUGUUAUAUGACAGAACUAAAAAGAACUUGUAAUUCAGUUGUAUUUCAAUAUAGAAAUGCUUGGACAUGGAUGGGCACGUUGGCUCACGCUGUAAUCCAAGCACUUUGGGAGGCCAAGGUGGGUGGAUUGCCUGAGGUCAGGUGUUCGAGACCAGCCUAGCCAACACGGUGAAGUCCUGUCUCUAACAAAAAUUGGCCGGGUGUGGUAGCAGGUGCCUGUAAUCCCAGCUACUCGGGAGGCUGAGGCAGUAGAAUCGCUUGAACCCACGAGGCAGAGAUUGCAGUGAGCCGAGAUCGCACCACUGCACUCCAGCCUGGGCAAUGAGCGA
rnacentral:lncRNA from 1 species